AGGGAAAAAUGUAGAUGUAAAUAAUGAAAGCAACAUAAUUAAUGUAUUUUCACCUGUACACAAAAAAUGCUGGGUUGUUUGGAUGACCGUUGGGUUGUUUUCUUUAAAAAUAGCAAGGUUGGGUUGUUAAUGCUGGGUUAUUGAGAUUUGGCUGAGUGGGUGGGUUAAUUCUCCAGCCAAAUCCAGAAAAUCAACGUCAUUCGUCAAGCUUGUGAAUGAGGAUCGUCGCAGCUGUGCAGCAAGUCUACCAGACAGUGCAGCCAGCGCUGAGUGGAAUUACUUUUUUGAUGGACAAAUGGGCAAGGCGAUACUAGAGGCUGAAUGGCCCUGAGAGGGCUUCUCCCACCACAAGCGUACCGAAUGCAGAUACUAAAGACGACAUGGUCCUGAGUGUUUCUCCCACCCCCAGUGUAGAGUGCAGGCAGCUACAUAUUGAAAUGAAAGUAGUGUCUCAAAUGUUCAUCCACGUUUAUCUGUUUUGGCUGUCCCCUAAAAGCUUGUUAUGUAUUUGUCCCCCAGAUACUAAAGACAACAUGAUCCUGAGAGUGUAUUUCCCAACCCCAGUGUAACGAGUUGGAAAGAUGACUGCCCGCCCAAGCAUUGAUGAGGCCCGAAAGCCAUAAUGCAGAGCUGGAAUCAAUAUGGCUGAAUAUCUCCGCCAGGCGACCAAAAGAACAAGAACCCUUCGUUCUGACCCUCGGGGACAAUCACUUCUACUCCCUGCCAUUCACCAUCGUGAAAGGGCAGACUCUGGAGCAGAAGACUUUAUGUUUCAUUGUUGUUUUACAUAAAUUCCUAUUGAAAAUUGAUACCUGGUAGGGGUUGGUGGAGGGUAAAGUGUUUACUUUUCUUCAGCCCCUUUCCUCGGCUUUAAUUGGUAGGGCUGCUGUGAUUUUCAAAUGAUGGAUUGUGCUUCUAAAGUUGUUUUUAAUUGUGUGUUCCGUAUUUGUUUCUUUUGCAUGACUUCAUUUUGUAGCUGAAAUUAAUAUCUGAAAAUAAACAUUUUGUAUUUUAUCUACAA